rnacentral:rRNA from 1 species
UUGGAGGGCAAGUCUGGUGCCAGCAGCCGCGGUAAUUCCAGCUCCAAUAGCGUAUAUUAAAGUUGUUGCAGUUAAAAAGCUCGUAGUUGAAUUUCGGGAUCUGUUGGUCGGUCGUGCCUCGGUACGUACUGGUCAAAUUGAUUCCUACCCACGAUGUCAUUAAUUUGGUGUCGUGGGGAAUCAGGACUGUUACUUUGAAGAAAUUAGAGUGUUUAAAGCAGGCUCGCGCUUGAAUACAUUAGCAUGGAAUAAUGAAAUAGGACGUUUGAUUCUAUUUUGUUGGUUUCUAGGAUCGACGUAAUGAUUAAUAGGGAUAGUUGGGGGCAUUAGUAUUCAAUUGUCAGAGGUGAAAUUCUUGGAUUUAUUGAAGACUAACUACUGCGAAAGCAUUUGCCAAGGAUGUUUUCAUUAAUCAAGAACGAAAGCUAGGGGAUCGAAGACGAUCAGAUACCGUCGUAGUCUUAACCAUAAACUAUGCCGACUAGGGAUCGGAUGAUGUUAAUUUUUUAAUGACUCAUUCGGCGCCUUACGGGAAACCAAAGUGUUUGGGUUC